ACCAUGGUUGUUACGGGUAACGGAGAAUCAGGGUUCGAUUCCGGAGAGGGAGGGGAGCUGCUAGAAAACUGGUACCACAUCCAGAGGUAAGGCAAACAUCGGCGCGCAAAUUACCCACUCCCGGCACGGGGAGGUAGUGACGAAAAAUAACAAUACGGGACUCUUUUGAGGCCCCGUAAUUGAAAUGAGUACACUCUAAAUCCUUUAACGAGGAUCAAUUGGAGGGCAAGUCUGCCAGCAGCCGGUAAUUCCCAGCUCCCAAUACUUAUACUAAAUAAAGCUGCUGCGGUUAAAAAGCUCGUAGUUGGAUCUCAGUUCCAGACGAGUAGUGCAUCUACCCGAUGCGACGGCUCGGACUGAACAUCAUGCCGGUUCUUUCUUGGUGCACUUCAUUGCUCGAGCAUGCCGGUUGGUCUAUUUACUUGAAAAAAUUAGAGUGCUCAACUCAGGCGAGUCGCCUGAAUAAAACUGUGGCAAUGGGUGAAUAAUAGAAUCAAGAUCCCUCGUUUCUUUCUUUGGUUUUUGGAAAUACGAUAAUGAUUAAUAGGGACGGACGGGGGCAUUCGUAUUGCGGCGCUAGAGGUGAAAUUCUUGGACCGUCGCAAGACGAACUACUGCGAAAGCAUUUGCCAAGAAUGUUUUCAUUGAUCAAGAACGAAAGUCAGAGGUUCGAAGGCGAUCAGAUACCGCCCUAGUUCUGACCAUAAACGAUGCCAACCAGCGAUCCGCCUGAGUUACUCAAAUGACUCGGCGGGCAGCUUCCGGGAAACCAAAGUAUUUGGGUUCCGGGGGAAGUAUGGUUGCAAAGCUGAAACUUAAAGGAAUUGACGGAAGGGCACCACCAGGAGUGGAGCCUGCGGCUUAAUUUGACUCAACACGGGAAAACUUACCCGGCCCGGACACUGGGAGGAUUGACAGAUUGAGAGCUCUUUCUUGAUUCGGUGGAUGGUGGUGCAUGGCCGUUCUUAGUUGGUGGAGCGAUUUGUCUGGUUAAUUCCGAUAACGAACGAGACUCUAGCCUAUUAAAUAGGUGCGGGGUUCCCAGCACCUUACAACCUUCUUAGAGGGACAAGCGGCUCCUAGCCGCACGAAACAGAGCAAUAACAGGUCUGUGAUGCCCUUAGAUGUCCGGGGCCGCACGCGCGCUACACUGAAGGAAGCAGCGUGUCUUUAUCCCUGUCUGAAAAGACUGGGUAACCCGUGGAACUUCUUUCGUGAUUGGGAUAGGGGCUUGCAAUUGUUCCCCUUGAACGAGGAAUUCCCAGUAAGCGCGAGUCAUAAGCUCGCGUUGAUUACGUCCCUGCCCUUUGUACACACCGCCCGUCGCUACUACCGAUUGAAUGAUUUAGUGAGGUCUUCGGACCGAUGUCCGGCGCGGCCUUUCGGUUGCGCCGGUCUGUUGGAAAGAUGACCAAACUUGAUCAUUUAGAGGAAGUAAAAGUCGUAACAAGGUUUCCGUAGGUGAACCUGCGGAAG
rnacentral:rRNA from 1 species